CAGGGAAUCUUGCGCAAUGGGCGAAAGCCUGACGCAGCGACGCCGCGUGGGGGAAGAAGGCCCUAGGGUUGUAAACUCCUUUUCUGGGGGAAGAGAAUGGACGGUACCCCAGGAAUAAGCCCCGGCUAACUACGUGCCAGCAGCCGCGGUAAUACGUAGGGGGCGAGCGUUGUCCGGAUUUACUGGGCGUAAAGGGCGUGUAGGCGGCCUGGAAAGUCUUUGGUGAAAUCUCCCGGCUCAACUGGGAGGGGUCCAGGGAUACUUCCAGGCUAGAGGGCAGUAGAGGAGAGUGGAAUUCCCGGUGUAGUGGUGAAAUGCGUAGAUAUCGGGAGGAACACCUGUGGCGAAAGCGGCUCUCUGGGCUGUACCUGACGCUGAGGCGCGAAAGCGUGGGGAGCAAACCGG
rnacentral:rRNA from 1 species